UACGGGGGGGGCAAGCGUUGUUCGGAAUUACUGGGCGUAAAGGGCUCGUAGGCGGAUUGUUAAGUCGGGGGUGAAAUCCUGGAGCUCAACUCCAGAACUGCCUUCGAUACUGGCGAUCUUGAGUCCGGGAGAGGUGAGUGGAACUCCGAGUGUAGAGGUGAAAUUCGUAGAUAUUCGGAAGAACACCAGUGGGCGAAGGCGGCUCACUGGCCCGGUACUGACGCUGAGGUGCGAAAGCGUGGGGAGCAAACAGG
rnacentral:rRNA from 1 species